UGGGGAAUCUUGCUCAAUGGGCGCAAGCCUGAAGCAGCGACGCCGCGUGUGGGAAGAAGGUCUUCGGAUUGUAAACCACUUUCAGGAGGGAAGAAGCGCAAGUGACGGUACCUCCAGAAGAAGCCCCGGCCAACUACGUGCCAGCAGCCGCGGUAAUACGUAGGGGGCAAGCGUUGUCCGGAAUUAUUGGGCGUAAAGAGCUCGUAGGCGGCCCAACAAGUCGGAUGUGAAAUCUCAAGGCUCAACCUUGAAAUUGCAUCCGAUACUGCUGGGCUUGAGGCAGGUAGGGGAAAGUAGAAUUCCGAGUGUAGAGGUGAAAUUCGUAGAUAUUCGGAGGAACACCAGUGGCGAAGGCGGCUCACUGGCUCGAUACUGACGCUGAGGUGCGAAAGCGUGGGGAGCAAACAGGAUUAGAUACCCCGGUAGUCC
rnacentral:rRNA from 1 species